GAUGAACGCUGGCGGCGUGCCUAAUACAUGCAAGUCGAACGCUGAAGCUUGGUGCUUGCACCGAGCGGAUGAGUUGCGCACGGGUGAGUAACGCGUAGGUAACCUGCCUCUUAGCGGGGGAUCACUAUUGGAAACGAUAGCUAAUACCGCAUAAAAGUCGAUAUCGCAUGAUAUUGAUUUGAAAGGUGCAAAUGCAUCACUAAGAGAUGGACCUGCGUUGUAUUAGCUAGUUGGUGAGGUAACGGCUCACCAAGGCGUCGUAACAUAGCCGAACUGAGAGGAUGGUCAGCCACACUGGGAGGGAGACACGGCACAGAGGCCUUCGGGAGGGAGCAGGAGGGAAACGUCGGCAAGGGGGGCAACCCUGACCGAGCAACGCGGAGGGAGGGAAGAAGGUUGUCGGGUCGUAAAGGUCGGUUGUAGGAGAAGAACGAGUGUGAGAGUGGAAAGUUCAGUCUGUGACGGUAACGGACCAGAAAGGGACGGCUAACUACGUG
rnacentral:rRNA from 1 species